UCGGGAAUUUUGGGCAAUGGGCGAAAGCCUGACCCAGCAACGCCGCGUGAAGGAUGAAGUAUUUCGGUAUGUAAACUUCGAAAGAAUAGGAAGAAUAAAUGACGGUACUAUUUAUAAGGUCCGGCUAACUACGUGCCAGCAGCCGCGGUAAUACGUAGGGACCAAGCGUUGUUCGGAUUUACUGGGCGUAAAGGGCGCGUAGGCGGCAAUUCAAGUCAUCUGUGAAAUCUCCAGGCUUAACUCGGAACGGUCAGAUGAUACUGCUUUGCUAGAGUGCAGAAGGGGCAAUCGGAAUUCUUGGUGUAGCGGUGAAAUGCGUAGAUAUCAAGAGGAACACCUGAGGUGAAGACGGGUUGCUGGGCUGACACUGACGCUGAGGCGCGAAAGCCAGGGGAGCAAACGGGAUUAGAUACCCAAGUAGUCCCUGAGCGGGCUGGCAAGGCGCAU
rnacentral:rRNA from 1 species